AGAGACUUCAGAAGGUGGAAACGUUUAUUAAGCACUGUGUCCUAAGCACCUUAUAUACCUAUUUGAAGACAACUCUGCAAGUUGAAAGAGGCUAAAUUAGAUGGAGUGAAGAUUAUGGCAAGAAAAAAAAGGAAAGAAACAUGACUAUGGCACCUUUGCUCCUCAGAGAGCUGAAGACAGGAGCAUUCUUUCUUCUGUUUUUAGCAAAACAAAGAUUAUUUUCAAAAUAAUGGCCUUAUACCUGCUCCCUUAGAAAGGGAAAGAACCUUUGUGGUCAAACCGAUUUGUGGAUGAACCCCAAGCUCUCACUUUCUAAUGAAAGAAUUAGUCAUUUUAAACUUU